rnacentral:lncRNA from 1 species
CUCCUCCCUCGCAUUCCUCCUCGUCCGCGUCCUCCGCCUCGUCGACGCCGUCUCCAUCUCCCGCGACGUCUACCUCAAGUCCGUCGUCCCCAUCGGCGCCCUCUACGCCCUCUCCCUCUGGUUCUCCAACUCCGCCUACAUCUUCCUCUCCGUCUCCUUCAUCCAGAUGCUCAAGGCCCUCAUGCCCGUCGCGGUCUACUCCAUCGGCGUCGCCUUCAAAAAGGACGCCUUCAAGAGCGACACCAUGCUCAACAUGGUCUCCAUAUCCGUCGGCGUUGCCAUCGCAGCGUACGGGGAGGCGAAAUUCAACUCAUGGGGAGUCACAUUGCAGCUGUUGGCCGUGGCGUUCGAGGCCACGAGGUUGGUUCUCAUUCAGAUUCUGCUUAAUGCUAAGGGUAUUAGCUUGAAUCCGAUUACUUCACUUUACUAUGUUGCACCGUGUUGUUUCGUGUUCUUGUGCGUGCCGUGGGUCAUCGUUGAGCUGCCGGUGUUGAGGCAGACCUCGAGUUUUCACUUUGAUUUCGUGAUUUUUGGGACAAAUUCACUGUGCGCGUUUGCGUUGAAUCUGGCGGUGUUUCUGUUAGUGGGAAAGACCUCUGCUUUGACUAUGAAUGUUGCUGGGGUUGUCAAAGAUUGGCUUUUGAUUGCAUUUUCGUGGUCUGUGAUCAAGGAUACCGUGACACCUAUCAAUUUGAUGGGGUACCUGAUUGC